GAUGAACGCUGGCGGCGUGCUUAACACAUGCAAGUCGAACGGAAAGGCCCAAGCUUGCUUGGGUACUCGAGUGGCGAACGGGUGAGUAACACGUGGGUGAUCUGCCCUGCACUUCGGGAUAAGCCUGGGAAACUGGGUCUAAUACCGGAUAGGACGAUGGUUUGGAUGCCAUUGUGGAAAGUUUUUUCGGUGUGGGAUGAGCUCGCGGCCUAUCAGCUUGUUGGUGGGGUAUUGGCCUACCAAGGCGUCGACGGGUAGCCGGCCUGAGAGGGUGUACGGCCACAUUGGGACUGAGAUACGGCCCAGACUCCUACGGGAGGCAGCAGUGGGGAAUAUUGCACAAUGGGCGCAAGCCUGAUGCAGCGACGCCGCGUGGGGGAUGACGGCCUUCGGGUUGUAAACUCCUUUCGCUAGGGACGAAGCGUUUUUGUGACGGUACCUGGAGAAGAAGCACCGGCUAACUACGUG
rnacentral:rRNA from 1 species